CCUCCUUUUUCUCUUGUUAGAUUUAUAGGGCUUACUUAGUUCAUACAAUGUGUUUAUUUUGAUACCUUUUAUUAAUAUUUGGCCAGUAAUCAUACUUAUACUGUUACAUAUCUGAGUAAAUACUUUGUUGCAUCUCAUGUAUCCAUUUCCGUCUAUACAAAGGUCUCAGCACUGCUGGAUACAGUGAACACAUUUGUACUCUCUAUCUACUGGCUAACCUGCACGGCAAUUGUGUGUAUUUUUACUUUGCGGAUUGAGCCUGACGAGCCACCGUCCAGAUGACGUCAUUACUUAAUUGAUCUACGGAUCGGGGGUGUGUCUUUUUUCUGCCUUUAAAAGGCGGUUUGCCGAUCGGGCAGUCUGUACUCUUGACAAAGGCGCCUGAGAGUGCCAAAACGCACGUCGAGUUCUGACGUUUCCUUUUUAACUUUGGGGCAACUCCCUUCAGAUAUUUAUUUUGUAUGGCUUUGUAGUUAGACUAUGGGAACUCUUUGAGCCAAGUAGUCUAGCCGGUACUUGAUAGUUUUGAACGAUCGUACCAGGGACUUUAAGUUACUAGGCACUUUAGCCAAUAUUAUUUCGUUCUUUCCAUCUUUAUACCACUAUAUCAGUCAGGGCAAAAUCUCUCCCUUUUCAAGCUGAUCAGAUAUAGACUCUCCCCUGUACUAUUUUGAGCUAAUAGGGUUUCACUAAGGGAUUUCUAAUUUUACUAGACACUUUAUCCACAAGUUUUACAGCAAUCUGUUUAAAGGACACUGUAUACCUUAGGGAAUGAUACUACCUUUCGCUGAGGGAUUUAUAGAUUUGACUAGAGGCUUUUUUU